CUGACGAGUGGCGGACGGGUGAGUAACGCGUAGGAAUCUGCCUUAUAGUGGGGGACAACGUGGGGAAACCCACGCUAAUACCGCAUACGCCCUACGGGAGAAAGGAGGGGAUCUUCGGACCUUGCGCUAUUGGAUGAGCCCGCGUUAGAUUAGCUAGUUGGUGGGGUAAGGGCCUACCAAGGCAACGAUCUAUAGCUGGUCUGAGAGGACGAUCAGCCACACUGGGACUGAGACACGGCCCAGACUCC
rnacentral:rRNA from 1 species